rnacentral:lncRNA from 1 species
UUUUAAAUCCGGCGAUGCCUCCUUUGUCUCAAACUACAGGCCCAUUUCACUAACAAGCAUAUGUUGUAAAUUACUACAGCACACCACAUCGUCUACCA